UCGAUGUGGGAAAUAAACAUUAAGGGACUUUCCGAAGUUUAAAAAAAGAUUUAGCAUAAGAUCUGCAGUUUUCAGUCAGAUGAUGAUCCAAAAAGCACAGAAGACUCUGUCCUGUGUUCUGCAGCCAUUGGUUUCACCAAAAAGGUCGAGAAGACCCUGGGCUGAUCGAUGUUGAUGAGUCACUGACCUGCAACGACUUUCUGUUCCCUGAGGCGCCCCAAUAGAAUGGAUUCCUGAUUCUUGUUUCUCAGUUUCUUCAAAUUACAAGUUCUGCUCUUCGGCCAAUCCCAUCAGCUUUGCCUGCUGAGGACAAAGGAGUCAGUUGUCUGUUGUUGUUUGUUGGGAUUGAUGUGUGCUGGAAGCCAUUUGGCUCACUGCGGUGAGGGUGAGGAAUGGUGAGGUCCCCGUUCACGGCUUUCCAGAUGAGCUGACACGGGAUUUGGACGUGUCAGUAGUGGUGACACAUGCACAAUAUGAAUGAAUGAAUCUGUAGUAUUUCCCUGAAAGCUUUCGGAAAUCUUUGAGAAUCUGGAAUCCUGAAUGAAAAAAUCAUUGGCCUGUUGGUCAAGCAUUCAAAUGUUCACACAAGUUCCUAUCAGACAAACACAUGCAGAUGCAC